AGGACUUUGGUUCCACUGAAGUUGAUGCAGGAAGAAAAUCUGGAAUUGUUGCAUCAGCCUUGUUUAUUUCUAGAAUAUUUAGCAGUUUAUUAUGGGGCUACAUCUGCGAUAAAUGUGGAAAAAAGUUAUCUCUUUUGUUGUCCGGAGGAUGCGUUGCAAUUUCAACACUGAUGUUUGGAUUUUCGUUUAACUAUCCCUGGGCUGUUGUAGCAAGAUUUUUACAAGGUUUUUCAAUGGGAAUCAUGGUGAUUACAAUAGCUUAUAUGUCAGAUAUAUGCGAUGAUAGUAACCUAGCAACUGGUUUAGGUGUAGUGUUCUCAGGCUACAAUAUAGGACUUGUAAUUGGCCCCAGCAUGGCUGGAUUUUUAGUUUUUCCUGUUGAGAAAUACCCA
rnacentral:lncRNA from 1 species